AAGCACCACCCUUUCUCCCAGCUGCAGUGCCUGUAUGCUGGUUUGUCAACCUGUAGCCCUUUCCUGCUGCCCUGCGCGCCCUCCCCCGCUUAGUCAUCGCCGCUACCGGCCCGCACUCGCCGGGACUUUCUCCCAAGGCCUCAGGAUGGUAGUGAACGUGGCACGGAGGAGCCGGGCCUUCCCACCCUGUGGGCUUGAGCUCCAGAAGGCUCCCUCGGCCGUGAGAGGGGCCUGGGGUCGCUCCCUUCUCUCGCCUCUGCCUCCGCAAAGCUGCGCUCUGGGCUGACAGAUGAAGACUCUAAGAUGACAGAAGUUGAUUUUUCUGGUGAUCAAGGGCUCCCAGAGCCAUGAGAGUGAUGAAAUGCAACCAUUACAGGACCUGGUAGGUUUCUUUUGGAGACUUACUUUGGGGGCUGCCUGGUGGGACAAAACAGCAUGUUUCCAAGGGCUGUGGCUGGUUGUAGCCAUGGGAUCUCCAACUGCAUGCAAGAGCAACCUGGAAAGACUUUGACAGCACAGGUUGCCCCAAGUUUGCUGGCAGUGUGAUACUGAGGAGAUCAGCUUUUUUAUGGAGCUGUGCUUUAAGAUUGACGUUACGCAUAAAGCUGUCCUUAUUUGUGACUAUGGACCCUAUGGAGUUGGGAGAAUAUGGGAAGCAGAAGUCAAGACCCUGGUCAUUUUAGGUGGGAACAGCGGCGUGUUCUAGGUGGAGACUUUUGUUUUUUUGCUAAUGCAAAAAAUUAUGUAGUGUGCUACUGAACUUAA